rnacentral:lncRNA from 1 species
AUUAUUAAAAGUAAAAUUGAUGAAAAACGAAGGGAAAAUUUAUGAAAAUAAUAAUUUCAUGGUUUUCUAUUUGCUUGUCGAAAAUUUUAGGAAACAGAUCUAAAAAAAUACAUUAACAUUUUUUGAAAGGUGAAACGACUAUUUCCUAUUGAUUUGUGUAUGGUAUUCUACAUAAAAAAUAUCAUGCAUAGACGGAGUAUUAGUAUAAAUGCAUUUCGAUUUUAACAAUUUCGAUUCUAGUCUACCUGUUAACAAGAUCUUCUAAUUUUAAGUUUGAGCAGCAAAAAAGCAUAAUUUGGGUGGAAAUAUUGUGCAUAUUUAAGUUGAAUUACAUAACUCUCCCACUACUCAAACUUAAAAGUAGAAUAUUUCGUCAACGGGUUGAUUGAAAUAAAAUAUGUCAACAUUAAAAUAGAUAUAAAUUAAUUCUCCAUCUUUUCAGUGGAAGAAACAAAAUACGUAGAAUAAAGUCAUAUCAAAAUUUAGUAUUAGCAAUAAUUAUUUCAAAUAGUAAAUUCUAUUAGUUCUAGUAGGAAAUAUUUUAUUUUUUAAUAAACAAAAAAAGACAUCCUAGAAUAAUGGGAUGGGUGCAGCAAAUGUUAUAGGUAAUUUAAUGUAUACCAGUAUGCAACGAUAAAAAACAUUGCUUAAUAAUUUUUUUUGUUUUGUUGUCAGUGGUCACAUCAUCUAUUCAUUGUUCUGGUCCAUAUUGAAUUUGUUAUGUUUCUGUAAUAGUUUAUUCAAUUGUAUUUUAAACUUUUCCUAUGCGAUUAGCGUUAUCUGUUUCUGUGUGUGUGUGUGUGUGUGAGGGAAGAACACAAUUGUACAUUUUUUUUUUGAAUAAAUUAAUAAAAUAAGUAUAGCAUUGCCAUUGUACCACGUAUUAAUCAUAAAAUACACUACUAUUAUUAUUUAGUUGAGUCAACAGGCUUAUUAUUACAGUUCCUACACGGUCAAGAAAUAUUGUAUUUUUUUGUUUAGCAUUUUAGGCCAUUUAGGCCCUUUGCUGUCAGUAUCAAACUCUUCCAUUACUCUCUAUUAUACGCAUGGUCCAUGUUUUCAUUCCAAUCUGGUCUCAGCUCCUUAAUGUUCUUUUUGACUGAAUCUAACCACCGUUUCUUUGGUCUACGAUGUGGUCUAUUUGUGUUUAAUUUGUUUACAAGUACCGUCUUGACAAUACUGUUGUCGGUUCUCUAUACGUGGCCUGCCCACUUCAAUCUUGCUCCUUUUAGAAAUUGUGCUGUACUUCUUUUUCUAUAUAAUAGCUGCAUCUGUUCGUUUGACCUUCUCUCCCACACUUUGGUAUCAGGGUUAUAAACGGCACCAUAAAUUAACCAUAAAAGACCAUAAAAUAAAUAUUGUAUAAUUAAGUUUAAUUGAUACCGACAAUUCUACGUUAAUUAUAUAUUUUAUUUAUACGUGUAUAUUGCUCUUGUACAUUAAGAAUAUUCAUUUUUUAUUACAUAUUUAUAAUUUUUGAUGUUUAGCUUUAUGAUUUUUUUGCUUUAAUUACAUAUAAUUAUCAUAUUUAUUUUUUAUAUUGUUGAAUUACCGAUUAUAAGGCUGUCAUAAUUUAAUAUUAAUUUUAUAUUUAAAUAC